AUGGUGGCGCAGGUGCGGGCCGGUGCCCCUCGGCCGUGUGGACGGCGAGGCAGCCGGUGGAUGCGCGCCAGGGCGUGGCGGCGGCGGCUUCGGCUCCGCGGCUCCAGAUCUGGCCGCCCUCCACCCUCUUCGGCGGAUUCGCAAGUCCUCCCCCCAGAUCUGGCCGGCUCCGUCCUGGACGCCGGUUUCUUCGCCGGGUGGGAGUGGGGACGGGAAGUUUGCCAGGAGAAAUCCCUAGCCGCCUUGCUGGCUGUGACGGCGGCGACGCCCGCGGGCGCCGCGCACCUUCUUGGAGGCGCUGGUCAGGUAUACCUUCCCCACCCCCUCCCCCUUGUCCUCCCGGGUGAAAACCCCAACGAUGUUGGGCGGCGGCGACGCCCUUGGCGCCGUUUCCUUCUUGAAGGCGCUGCUUUGGGAGCAAGGUGGGAAUUUGGUCUUCGCCGUGAGGUGUGCAGUGGGUGUCGGCGGCAGCAGUUAUCUCAAGCGGUGCUGUGCUCCCCCUGGUGGUGGGCUGCUGCUCCUUCGUGCAUCCUGGCAGCUCUCCUCUUGAAUGCCCAAGUCUCUGGUUUUCGGUGUUGCUCUGCUCCAGGUGAGAAGUCGACGACAGGUCGCGUCUGCCUAAUCCCAACCAUGUGGAUGCCUUCGGUGCCUCUCAUCCAGGUUCUAGGGUGA
rnacentral:rRNA from 1 species